GACGAACGCUGGCGGCGUGCUUAACACAUGCAAGUCGAACGGAAAGGCCCAGCUUGCUGGGUGCUCGAGUGGCGAACGGGUGAGUAACACGUGGGUGAUCUGCCCCUAACUUCGGGAUAAGCCUGGGAAACUGGGUCUAAUACCGGAUAGGACAAUCGUUUAGUGUCGGUUGUGGAAAGUUUUUUCGGUUAGGGAUGAGCCCGCGGCCCAUCAGCUUGUUGGUGGGGUAAUGGCCUACCAAGGCGUCGACGGGUAGCCGGCCUGAGAGGGUGGACGGCCACAUUGGGACUGAGAUACGGCCCAGACUCCUACGGGAGGCAGCAGUGGGGAAUAUUGCACAAUGGGCGCAAGCCUGAUGCAGCGACGCCGCGUGGGGGAUGACGGCCUUCGGGUUGUAAACCUCUUUCGACAGGGACGAAGCUUUGGUGACGGUACCUGUAUAAGAAGCACCGGCUAACUACGUG
rnacentral:rRNA from 1 species